rnacentral:lncRNA from 1 species
AUGGCAACCAACACACAAGGGUCUCAAUCAUCAGAGUACAAAACAUUAACUGUUUCAUUAUCGAUGGAAACCAUUCUGUAUGCAGUUCUAGGAGUGGGCACUGGAAGUGCAUGUUUCUUUGUUAUUAUUGCUGUUUUGUGUUUAAGGAAGAAAAGACGGAUGAAAGAUGCAAAGGAUGCUGUCGAGCAAAAACAGGAGCAUAUUUACAAUAACGAGGCAGCGAUAUCUUCAGCCGGUAAGACUACACAUGGUACGGAUCCAUCCAAUCAGGACGGCAUUCAUUAUGCCAGUAUCAAACACCCCAGGAAAGCUGGAAGCCCUGCAGUGAAGGUUUCUUCACCAGUAACUGAUGAGAAGGUUGAGUAUGCCAGUGUUCAGCACCGCCGGGAUGAAGUGGUAGAGAAGAACGAGGAUGGCCUUCAGUACUCCAGUCUCCAAUUUACUCAAACUGGUGCUUCUGACAGGCCUGCACCACCUGAGGAUACUACUGUCAUCUACAGCAGCGUGAAAUAAACAUGCAACGUUUAGACCCAAAAUGUAUAACUUUUAUCUGCAAAGUUGUACUGAAACCCCACUUCUAGUGGAAGGCCAAUACACGCCAUCAGCUCCAUGGAGAAAAAAGCUUUUUAUGUGCACCUAUUGUUCCGUUUGCUCCAUGACGAUUUUUGUACAUAAGUCUGCAAAAUUUACCAAUUUUAAUCUAACCCGAACUAUCUAAAAACUUUUCAAAUUGUGGCCUUUUUUUCACUAUUUCAACAUGAAUCCUACUACACCCUCUACAGCAUGGCUUGUGCAACUGCAGGCAGUACUUCAAGAGCAUGACGAUGACCACAUAUUAAUAUUUAUUCACCUAUGUAGAACUUUAUUGAGAGAACUUUUAAACUUAUAGAUUCCAACAGCUUUUAAACAUUUCCUGUCUGUUCAGAUGUUUUGUAAUACUGUGUUUCUACUGUAUUUUAUUAAUAUAUUAAAUGUAAUUAGAAAGUGCAGUUCCUGAAAAACUGUGAGUUUGGUUGAAGCUCAAAAAUGUUUCUGUGAUGUAGGUUUUGGUUGCUAAUGUGUUGCCAUGGUACAGCUGUUGGUUGCAUAGGUGUUGAUAAGCAGUCCAUAAGACAUUGCUGUGGUAUAGGAGUUGGUUGCUAAGGAGUUGCUAUGGUACAGGUGUUGGUUGCUUAGGUGUUGGUAAGUGGUCCAUAAGGUGUUGCUAUGGUACAGCUGUUGGCUGCUUGGGUUUUGGUAAGCGGUUCAUAAGGUGUUGCAGUGGUAUAGGUGUUGGUUGAAGUGGUUAGUAAGUUGCUAGAUGUUUUUUGCUAUGUGAGUGCAGUCCAUAAACAUUUGGCUAAAUGAAGGAAUGCAAAUGUUUGUCAUAUAUAUAGCAGUGUCCACAAACUUUUGAAUAAAAUGUGAAUUGCCAAUUUUUUCCCCCA